GACGAACGCUGGCGGCGUGCUUAACACAUGCAAGUCGAACGGAAAGGCCCCUUUGGGGGUACACGAGUGGCGAACGGGUGAGUAACACGUGGGUAACCUGCCCUUGACUUCGGGAUAACUCCAGGAAACUGGGGCUAAUACCGGAUAGGAAUACUCGCUGCAUGGCGGGGGUUGGAAAGCUUUGGCGGUUUGGGAUGGACCCGCGGCUUAUCAGCUUGUUGGUGGGGUAGUGGCUUACCAAGGCUUGGACGGGUAGCCGGCCUGAGAGGGUGACCGGCCAAAUUGGGCUUGGGAUCCGGCCAGGCUUCUACGGGGGGGAAGAAGUGGGGAUAAUUGAAAAAUGGCGGAAAGCCUGUUGAGGAGAGGCGGGGUGGGGAAUGCCGGCCUUGGGUUGGUAACCGCUUUCAGCAGGGGCGAAGGUGGUAGUGACGGUACCUGCAGAAGAAGCACCGGCUAACUACGUG
rnacentral:rRNA from 1 species